AGCCAUGCAUGUGCAAGCGAAGCCGGUGGUGGAGCGGCGCAAGGCUCAGUAACGGGCGACUGAUUUGAUCUCCCGGUGUGGACAACCUCUGUAACCGGAGGCCAAAACACAGGAGGCGCGUGACACGGGCACGGGCGUGCAACCGGCAGGUGCGGGAGAGUAAGGAGCCAUCCCAUCAGUUAGUAAGUAGGGUAAGGGCCUACUUAGACGAAGACGGGUACGGGGAAUUAGAGUUCGAUUCCGGAGAGGGAGCCUGAGAGACAGCUACCAGGUCCAAGGACAGCAGCAGGCGCGGAAAUUACCGAAGCCCGCUUCGGGGCGGUAGUAAGGAGAC
rnacentral:rRNA from 1 species